rnacentral:lncRNA from 1 species
UUAAAAAGUAAUGUGAUCUCUCCAGCUUUUUAGUAUAGUCAUCUAGUGCUAUGAACUUGCUUCUUAGAACCACCUUUAUUGUGUUCUGUAAGUUUGGGUAUGUUGUGUACUCAUUUUCAUUAGAUUCUAGAAAUUCUUUAAUUCCUUUCUUUAUUUUGGGCUUGACUGAUUUUUUUUUAUUCAGUGGUGAGUUGUUCAGUUUCCAUGAGUUUGUAAACUUCUCUGUUGUUGAUAUGUAGCUUUAAUCCAUAAUGGUGUGAUAGGGUGCAGGAGGUUAUUUGAAUUUUCUUGUAUCUUUUGAGACUUGCUUUGUAUUUGAGUAUGUGGUCAAUUUUAGAUAAAGUUCCAUGAGGUACUGAGAAGAAGGUUGUGUGUGUGUGUGUGUGUGUGUGUGUGUGUGUGUGUGUGUGUGUGUGUGUUUCAGUGAAAUUUUCUGUAAGUACCUGUUAGGUCCAUUUGUUUUAUGAAAUCAGCUCCAGAAUUUCUUGGCUUAGUUUUGUCUAUUGGCAAGAGAGCAGUGCUGAAUUUUCCCACUAUCAGUGUAUAAGGGUCAAUAUGUGAUUUAAGCUGUAGUAGUGUUUCUUUUACAAAACUGAGUGACUGUCUGUUGAGUGCAAAUAUGUUAAGGAUAGUAAUGUCCUUUUGGUAAAUUUUUCCUUUGAUGAGUACAUAGUGUCCUUCCCUAUCUCUUCUGAUUAGCUUUAGUUUUAAGUCUAUUUUUAGGAUAUUAAAACAUCUAAGAUAUUAAUUUUUUCUUUGACUGAGAUAUCCAUUUCUUGUAUCUUGUCUAUAGUGCUUGAGAUUAUCUCUUCCAUUUCCUUUAUUUUGGUGGUGAGACUUCCCUCUAAGGUUCCUUUUCAAGUUCCUAAACAUUUCAUUUUUAAAUUUCCCUAAGUUAGUUUUUUUAUUGAUUCUAUUUCCACUUUUAAGUCUUGAACAUUUUCAUUCAUUUCCUUCCAGUUCUUGCUUAUGUUUUUGUACACUUCUUUAAGGGAUUUAUUAAUUUAUUCUUUAAAGACCUCUAUGAUAUCCAUCAAGACUCUUUUAAAAUCUUUACAUUGUGUUUCAGAUAUGUUGUAUUAUUAUGAUCUUGCAGUGGUAAGGUUGCUGGGCUGUAGUGGAGACACAAUGUCCCAGCUGUGUUUGAUUAUAUUUUUACACUGGUGUCUAUACAUCUGUGAUUGGGAUUGGUAUAAUUCUAGGUACUGGUAUAUGUUCUUGUUCUGAGGGUGUUUUGUUCCUUGCUUUCUCUUUCAUAUCUGAUACUUUGGCGAGUGUAAUGGCUGUGUGCUAUAGGAGUUCUGGAAUCCUUAUAUUAAUGGGCACUGGGUUUUCCCAGUAGAAUGUGUAUCUGGAUAUUGGGAGCUGACACUUGGGAAUGGAGUUGGGUUGGGAUCUGAGAGAUUUCACAGGAAGGAGGAAAUCAGUAUGUUCCACCAAGCAGAGAGUGUGGAGAGGCCACAGUAGAAGGUCAGCUACAGAGGUGAGGAUGAGAUUGGGAGACUGGAUUUGAAGGAAUGAAUGGAGAGGUGAAGAUCUUCAAUUAGUCUACUUGCUUCCCUGGUCAGGGUAGCCUGUGGAUUCCCAGGUAAUGCUUGCUGAAGAUGUGGGCUGGAAUAAAACAAUAAAUGGAAAAGGGAGGAACUGCAUAAUUCACUGGAGACGCUAGUGGUGGGUGAGGCUUCAGCAGGUGUUCUGCUGUAGAGGUGAGGAUGAAACUGGGAGGUUGGAUUUGGAGAAGCUGAAGGAGGGAUGAAGGUCUGCAGUUUGUCUACCUGCUUCCUUGGCAAGAGUGGCUUGCAGGUUUGUAGGGAAUGCUUACUGACAUAGGGGUCUUGGAUAAAGCAAUUAGUUCUGGGAAGGAGAUUAGGAGAAAAAGAUUUGUGUAAUCUACUGGAACAUGUUGUGGAGGAGAGAAGCCUUAUCAGAUGUUUUGCUGCAGAGCUGGGGAUGCGACUGGGGGAUUGGAUUCAUAGGAGCUGAAGGAAAAAUGCAGAUCAGAAGUUAGACUACCUGCUCCUUGGCAAGAUUGGCUUGUUGUUUCUCUUCAUUUUGAUUGGUUGUGCACAACUUAGCGGUAACCAAUAGCUUUCUAAUUGGACUUAAGACCUCUUCAACAAGAAGGGAACUGUGCCUGGUACUCAAACUUUUGUUACAUAAUUUAUGCCUCUUGGGAAGAAAAAAUUUAACCCAUGUGGCAUAACUUCAUUAUAUUAGUAAAGUAACAGCAUAUCUAAAAGCUCUAAAGCAAAAAUAAAUCAUACCCAAAGGGAACAGACAAUGAGAAAUAAUCAAACUGAGGGCUGAAAUCAAAUUUUGACAAUUUUAAUCCAUGGUGGUCAGACAGGUUGAAAGAUGCUAUUUAAAUGUAAAUAUAUGUUCCAUUUUGGAGAAAGAUCCAUGAUUACUGAGAAGAUCAUGUCCUCUGGAAUCCCAUCUGGCUUUGCAUGUGCAGACCGAGUGUAUGUAUGCUUCCACUGUCUCUGUGAGUUUAUAUGUGUGUCAAUCCUUCUGUGUCUGGAAUACCUUGUUUCCUUGGUGUCUUCCAUCCCUACUGUCUCUUACAAUCUUUCUGCCUCCUCUUCUCCAAAGAGUCCUUAAGGGAGAGGUUUUUUGGAGACAUCCCAUUUAGGACUAAAUGUUCCAAGAUCUCCCACUCUCUGCACAUUGUCCAGUUGUAAGCCUCUGUAUUUGUUCCCAUCUACCACAGGGUAAAGUUUAUCUCAUGAUGGAUAACCAAGACAUUAAUCUAUGGAUAUAGCAGAAUGUUGUUAGGUGUCUUUUGGUAGUGAGAGAUGUCUAGUUGGGGCUUUGUCUCCCAGUUGUUAGGUGAAUAUAUAUAGAAUUCUUUCAUUUAUGGAUAUAUAGUAAGAAACUUAUACUUAGUAGAUUUUUACAUGAUCCUCAGGUGUUCCUCACUUUUAGAAGUUUCUCCCAUAUUCCCUCCCUUGUAUCCUCUUCCUUCAUCAUAUCCAUCUUCCAGUAUCAUCUCACACCCUGUCUCUUCUAAACUAUAUAUUCUGUUUUCCCAUCCUUGAGAAGUCCUUCCCUAACUUGACCCCUACUUUAUACCUAAUCUAUGUGGCUAUAUGAAUUGUGACAAUUCCUGUUGAAGGCUUAAAAGCUACUGUCUAUAUAUAUGAGAAUAUAUACAGUAUUUGUCUUUUGGAGUCUGGGUUACUUCACUUGGGAUUAAUUUUUUCUAGAUUCAUCCAUUUAUCUGUCUAAUAGGAAUAGAGUAUCAGUGAACAUGGAUAUCCUUGUCUCUGUAGUAGGGUAUAUGUAUUAUGGUGAACAUUUAGAUCUUGAGGAAGAAAUAUUCUCAGCUUUCUAGGAAACACUACAUAGAUUUCUAUAGGGGCUCUACAAGUUUGCACUCUCAAAAGCAAUAGAUGAGUAUUUCCAUUACACCACAUCCUCAUCAGCAUAGGAUGCCAUUUGUUUUAUUGAUCUUGGCCAUUCUUGCUGGUAUAAGAUGAAAUUUCAAAGUGAUUUCAGUUUGUAUUUUCCUGAUGACUAAGGUUGUUGAAGACUUCUUUUAGUGGUUCAUUUUUUGUGAGAAUUGCUUAUAUUUGAACCCCAUUUUUAAAUUGGACUCUUUCGUUUUCUUUUCCUUUGUUCUCCAGUUUUUUUUAAUUAGAGAAAAUUGUGGAGGUAUCACCAUCUCAAUCUCAAAAUGAACUACAGAGCUAUAGUAAUACAGACAGCUAUAAUAAAAAUAGACUUAUUGAUUAGUGGAGUCAAAUUAAAAACUCACACAUAAAUCAACAUAUCUAUGGACAUUGAAAUUUUGAUAAAGAAGACAGAAAUAUACACUGGAUAAAAGACAGUCUCUUCAACAAAUGUUGCUGGUCAAACCAAAUGGCUACUUGUAGAAGAAUGCAAAAAAGAUACAUAUUCAUCAUUCUGCAUGAAACUCAACUCUAAAAAGAUCAAGGGACUUAAAAUAAGGCCAGAUACACUGAACCUAAUAGAGAAAGUGAGGAGUAAGUAGGCUUGAAAUAAUUGGCGUUGGAAAAGACUUUUGAACCAGACAUUGAUAGUACAGGUAAUAAGAACAACAGUUAAUAGAUGGGACCCCAUGAAGCUGAAAAGCUUCUGUAAAACAAAGACCACCAUAAUUUGGAUAAAGGAUCAGGGCAUAGAAUGAGAAGAUAUGUUGACAGAUUACACAUUAAUAGAGGGUUAAUGCCUAAAAUAUGUAAAAUAAUUCUAUUUCUUCGUUAAAUUUUACAUUAAUAUCUUGAGUUGUUUUCAUUAUUUCAUUCAGCUGUUUGUGUUUUCACUGUCCUCACUAUGAUAUUUUCUUAUAUUCUGUAGGAUCCACGAACAUAGUCAUAAUUGAUAGUUUGAAACCUUUGUCUUGUGCUUCAGAUAAAUUACUUUUUCAGGUUUUAAAAUAAUAGGCUUACUGGCUCUGGAGGAAACAUAUUGUCCUGAUUGUUUAUGGUUGUGUUAUUACACUUGUAUCUAGUCAUCUGGAGUUACCAUAUUUGAACUGUUUCUGUUCUCAUCUUGGUUGGUUGGUGGGUUCUGUCCUUUCAUUGCUGUUGCCUAUUCUCAGGCCUAGACCAAUGUGGAAGCUGUGGGGACCCUGAUUCCCAGCCAGAUUUGUAGGUAUAGGGUUCCCUGUUGGGAAGUUGUUCUGCAGGUCAGAAGAAAGUCACAAAGGAUGGAGAUGGGGUGGAAGAAAAGGCUGAAAGGUGCAUCUGGAUGGAACUAGAGUGAUCCUGGGUCCCCACCAGAAGGCUGAGUGUGGCUCACAAAGGCAGGCUGCAGUGUGACUAAGGGUGAUGGAUGAUGUUUGGUUAGGACUCUGAGAAUGAUCCCUCCCGUGUCCUGAACCUUCUGGCCUGGCAUCUACUGAAAACUCAGCCUUCUCAGCAGUGAUGACCAUGUGAAACUUCUCCUCUUUCUGUUAAGAAUAGAGUGAACAGCAACAGUGCUCAGAGCUGCAGACUCAAGGCAAUCUCUCCCCAGAACUGUGGCCUUUCUUUCCCCCCCCCCCCACAGAUAGCUCAGCUUCCACAUGAGACAGUGACCAGGGUGACUAAGUUGACAAGAACUGAUUAUCUAAGGUAUUUGGAUUUGUAUGUAUAAAGGUUUAGGUUUGUGACUACUUUAUAAUUUGCCCUCUGUCUUAGAUAGGCUGUCUAUUGCUGUGAUAAAACACAUGGCCAAAUCAACUUAGGGAAGAAAGGGUUUAUUUCUUUUUACAACUCUCAGGUCACACUCCCUCACUGAAGGAAGACAGAGCAGGAACUCAAACAGGAACCCGGAGGCAGCAACUGAAGCAGAAGCUAUAAAGAAAUGCUGUUACUGCUGACCUGAACAUCGGGGAACUCUUGCUCCCCAGGCUGAUAGCUGAAAUACCAGCAUGAGACUGAUCCAGAACCCAGGAACAUGGGUUUCUAUGAGGAAACCUCAGAAAUCUACGGAACCUUCUGUAGGAGUUCAGUACUUAUCCCUAGCAUAGGUGUGGACUUUGGGAGCCCAUUCCACAUAGAGGAAUACUCCCUGAGCCAAGACACACGGGGUUGGGCCUAGGCCCUAUCCCAAAGGAUACAAUAGACUCUGAUGACACCCUAUGGAAGGCCUCACCAUCUAGGGGGAGCAGAAAGGAUAUGUGAUAGAUAGGGUUUUAGUUGGAGGCAGGAGUGGUAGGAGAGGACAGGAGGGUGAAGGGAACUGGAAUUGUCAUGUAAAACAAUCUUGUUUCUAAUUCAAAUAAAAAACGUUGAAAAAUAAAAUUAUAAUUUAUUUAAAAAAGUGAACUGAUUAUCU